AUCUGUCUAAUCUGAGUAUUCUGUUGCACGACUACACGUUCCACCAAAACAAGUUCCUUCCGAGCCUAUUUUGCAGCAGCACCGCAGCUUUUCUCCGGUGCUUGGCACCGCACAAGAUGAUUGUGACUGGUUUAAAGAAAUGAGAAUAAAACCAAAACAA